GCCAGUGUGACAUAGUGGUUUGAGUGUUGGACUAUGACUCUGGAGACCAGGGUUCGAUCCCCAGCUCAGCCA
rnacentral:tRNA from 1 species